CAGCAGCCGCGGUAAUACGGAGGGGGUUAGCGUUGUUCGGAAUUACUGGGCGUAAAGCGUACGUAGGCGGAUUAGUAAGUUAGGGGUGAAAUCCCAGGGCUCAACCCUGGAACUGCCUCUAAAACUGCUAGUCUUGAGUUCGAGAGAGGUGAGUGGAAUUCCAAGUGUAGAGGUGAAAUUCGUAGAUAUUUGGAGGAACACCAGUGGCGAAGGCGGCUCACUGGCUCGAUACUGACGCUGAGGUACGAAAGUGUGGGGAGCAAACAGGAUUAGAUACCCUGGUAGUCCACACCGUAAACGAUGAAUGCCAGACGUCGGGUAGCAUGCUGCUCGGUGUCACACCUAACGGAUUAAGCAUUUCGCCUGGGGAGUACGGUCGCAAGAUUAAAACUCAAAGGAAUUGACGGGGGCCCGCACAAGCCGUGGAGCAUGUGGGUUAAUUCGAAGCAACGCGCAGAACCUUACCAACCCUUGACAUCCCUAUCGCGGUUUCCAGAGAUGGAUUUCUUCAGCUCGGCUGGAUAGGUGACAGGUGCUGCAUGGCUGUCUGCAGCUCGUGUCGUGAGAUGUUCGGUUAAGUCCGGCAACGAGCGCAACCCACAUCCUUAGUUGCCAGCAGGUUAAGCUGG
rnacentral:rRNA from 1 species